GGCGCUGGAAAGGUGCCGCGGACGGACUGGCGGGCGGGCGGACGCCGGUGACGACAGCCGCUCGGCGAGGGGCGCGCGGCGCUGGCCUUAUAUGGUCAAGCGCUGCGACGAGGGGCGUCGACCAGCCGGCCCCGCCCGAGGCCCGCCCGAUUCUGGGGGCCCUACCCGACAGGGUCCCACCCGGGCUCAACUUUGGGAAGUCCGGGCUUUCCUUCUCCGGACCUGGCUGGGGCGCUGCCUUGCCUCUGUGGGCGCGUUUAUCCUGCACCCCACCGCCCGCAGGCCCUCACUAGGGGUGGGAGAGCAAACUGGAAAGGACCCCUCCGUGGCACAGACAGCCGCAGAUCUGGAGGACGAGCCACUCACUAACGCGGGAAGGACGUCUCUGGCCCCAGGCGGAGCCCUGGACCUGGCUGAACAUUGGCCUCCUGCACAAGUGUUUGGUUAACUGCGCUGCUGUUGCCCGGCUUUACCCAUUGCAGGAAGGCCAUCCAUCAGGAGGCACCUCUGGUCACCUUACCUCCUGUGUUUCCCUUCAAGCGCUCAUGGCAGCCCAGAUCCUUAAAAUCCCAGCUCUAUCCGCUGCUCCUCUGCUAUUCCCACGCAUUCCUGGGUCCUGACUGUCCUUGCUCGUUGCACGGGCCACUGGAUUGAACACAAGACUGUGCUCCUGCAAGGCAGGCGCUUAUGCCGCUGAGCUAAAUCCCCAGCCCCUGAUUAACCUGUUUGAAAUUCAAUUUCUUCAUCUGCAAAAUAAGGAUAGAAUAAUCCACACCUUAUGCUUUUUGUGAAAAAUCUAAUGAGUUAAUAUUUGUGAAAUGUUUAAGACAAUGUUUAGUAGGGCUGGGGAUUUAGCUCAGCGGCACAAGUGCCUGCUUGGCAAGUGCAAGGUUGUGAGUUCAAUCCUCACUAACAAAAAAAAAAAAAAAAAAGAAAGAAGAAAAGGAAAGGAAAAGGAAAGAGAGAAUAGACAGUGCUUGGUACAUAGAGACCAUGCACAUGCUGUGGAUUGCAGGAGGUGUGGACUCUUCCUCUCCAGCUGGGCAUUCCUGAUGCCUGGCAUACAGGAGGCGCUGAAUUGGUGUCUGCGAGUGAGGCAGAGGAGAGGAGGUCCUCAGGGCUUCAUGGCAACUAGGAGAGACAGAGGGUAGAUGCUUCUGAGACUUCAGGAGGUGAAGCAGUCACUUCCAGUGACAGAACAAAUGGAGAGUCGGCACUGGGGUGACUAUUAUGUGCUUUCUUUAGCACUGAAUGCCCCAUGCCCCAGGCAUCUCUUUAGUCUUAAGCCAACUGGGGCGAUGGCAAACUCCAGACCAAGUUCUAACCCCUGGGCCCUCAGGCUUGUCCUACUCUCUGCUUCCCUGGGCCACCCCUAUUAAAGACACAAACUCUCCUGCAUGAAGGCCUGGGAGACUUAGAAGACUCCUCAAAACACUCACAGCACAAAGGGGUGGGACUGGAUCUGGGUGUGGUAGGGCAAACCUGCAAUCCCAACCGGGGCUGGAGAAGCUGAGGCAGGAGGAUAUCAAAACACUGUCACAAAUAAAUGGGCAGAAUGAGGGUAGCAGGGGUUGCAAACCUGGGGCAGGAAGGCCAUUUACCCCAAUGAAGACCCACAGGGCACUUCUUUGCCAGGCCCUCUGCCCAGCACUGGGACAUCCCCUCCCCCUGCCAGUCCAGUGGGGCACAGAUGCAUGGACAUGGUGCCUCUGAGGCUGAUUCAUGGAUCACUGGAGGAGGGAGGGAAGAGGGAGGGGUUAGCUGGGUUUCAGAGGAACCCACUCCUGACCUGGCCACUCACCAGCAGGCCAGCAGUCUGUCACCUCCCCUUGCGGGCCCCGGAUGUCUUCUGUCCUUCACUAAGUGGAGUAGGAGCUGCUCUUGGAGCCCUUCCUGACCCUGAGGUUUGUGACCCAAGCAGCAGAGUUCUGGGAAAUGCAGCCUGUCAAGAGGGAAUAAAGGCUGAGCUGGCCUGGGUGGGUGAGGGCAGCCAGAUGGCCUGGCCCCACUGCACAACAGUCUCAUCCUCUCAGGAUGGCCCAGUGGAGCCACCCAGCUGCACAUCCUCCUGGGCCCCUGUCCAGGGAGUUGGCCUCUCCCUGUUACCCACAGCUCCCAGGGAGCAGGGCCAGACAUGGAGGCCACCUUCCUUCCCCUUGGCUGUGGAGGAGGUCCGAGGCUGGCCGGCUGAGGCUCAAGCAGUCAAGACCAAGGACUGAGCAGACGCUGUGGUCCCUGGGCAGCCUGUCCCACACCCGUCUCUCCCCUUGCUCGCUAGAUGGGGCCUCUGUUUCCCAGUCCGGGUCCAGCCUUGGUGGCUUCCUUCCUUUCCCACCUCAGCAUCACAGGAUCUUGGAAGAUGGGAACUGAUCUGUUGGAAGUGAAGUGGAAACCACGAAUACAUUGCAGGACAGCAGGACCCAGUGGCUGCCACACGCGUCCUGCAGAGAGGGAGCAGGGCUGGGGCAGAGGACUGGUGAGAACAGAGGUGCCGGGUUGGCCCAGAGGAGGUAGAGAGGUGGGUGAGGAAGGUGUUCAGGGCAGAUGCAGGGGCCAGAGUCAGUGACCCCAGGUGAAGAGGCAAGUCCUCCCAUCUCACCCCAGUCCCCAGGCCUGAUCUGGGCCUUCAUGUGGACCUGGCUGCAAAGGACACAAGAAUUCAGGGCCCAGAACUUUCUUUUUUCCUUUCUUUCUUUUUUUUUUUUCUUUCUUUUUUUGUAGUACCAGGAUUUGAACCCAGGGCUUCACACUGAGCUACCUUCCCAGCCCUUUUGAAAAAGUUUUCUUUUCUUUUGCGACAGGGUCUCAGUAAGUUGGGGAAUUGCCACUGGGCUUGAAGUUUCAUCUCAAUUACAGGCCAGGCUGGGGCCACCAUGUUGAGCUGGGGACCUGGAACUUUCUAAGGCAAAGGUGUAUGGGACAAAGAGGUGACUGGGUAUGGGAGACAGCCAGGACGUUCCUGCAGCUCAGCCUCCCUGCCCCCAAAGUAAACUGGCAGGUGGGAGGUGCAGGUGGAGCUCUGCAGGCUUCAGGCUGGGGACACUGCUUCCCUGCCCUCAGGACAAUAACAGGCUCCCUUUGCCCUGGAAAUCCCACCUCUGUAAAGUCUUAAGUGAAGAGAGCUCUAUGCCCAAACACAGUUUGCUCCUACAUUUACACAGGGAAAGUAAUUAAUGGAAAAACACCUAAAUGUCCCACACUGGGGACAAGGGUAACAAUGUGCCCCUGGCAGAGAGACCUCUGGGUCUGAGAAGUGCAGUGGUCCAGGUUUAGUCCUGCCCCGCCCCUUCCUAGCUGUGUCCCCUGGACCAUAAGUAACAGCUAAGUUAGGUAGGAGUCUAUGCAGGCAGACGGGGCUGGGUGCUUGGAGGAGUCGGGGCAGAGAACAAGAACACAUCAGGACUGGCUGGAGGUGCAUCCCUUGAAGGCCACGCUUCAAGAUAAAGAUGGAAUGACCAGGCCUACAUGCCUCCCCAAGGGGUAAACAAUACAUUAAAGAUGAUACUGUAUUUGCUGUCUGAUACAA